AACGUAGGAGACAAACGUUAUCCGGAGUUACUGGGCGUAAAGGGCGUGCAGGUGGUCUGUUAAGUCUGGCGUGAAAGCUCCUGGCUAAACCGGGAGAGGUCGUUGGAUACUGGCGGACUAGAGGACGGUAGAGGCGUGUGGAAUUCCGGGUGUAGUGGUGAAAUGCGUAGAUAUUCGCAAGAACACCAGUGGCGAAGGCGGCUCACUGGCCCGAUACUGACGCUGAGGCACGAAAGCGUGGGGAGCAAACAGG
rnacentral:rRNA from 1 species